UACGGGGGGGCAAGCGUUGUUCGGAAUUACUGGGCGUAAAGGGCUCGUAGGCGGCCCUCUCAGUCGGAUGUGAAAUCCCCAGGCUUAACCUGGGAACGGCAUCCGAUACUGGAGGGCUUGAAUUCGGGAGAGGGAUGCAGGAAUUCCAGGUGUAGCGGUGAAAUGACGCAGAUAUCAGGAGGAACACCUAUUGCGAAGGCAGCUCGCUGGGACGGUACUGACGCUGAGACGACGAAAGCGUGGGGAGCGAACAGG
rnacentral:rRNA from 1 species